rnacentral:rRNA from 1 species
AGAGUUGAUCCUGGCUUAGGACGAACGCUGGCGGCGUGCUUAACACAUGCAAGUCGAGCGAUGAAGCUUCUCGGAAGUGGAUUAGCGGCGGACGGGUGAGUAACACGUGGGUAACCUGCCUCAUAGAGGGGAAUAGCCUUCCGAAAGGAAGAUUAAUACCGCAUAAGAUUGUAAUAUCGCAUGAUAUAGCAAUUAAAGGAGUAAUCCGCUAUGAGAUGGACCCGCGUCGCAUUAGCUAGUUGGUGAGGUAACGGCUCACCAAGGCGACGAUGCGUAGCCGACCUGAGAGGGUGAUCGGCCACAUUGGGACUGAGACGCGGCCCAGACUCCUACGGGAGGCAGCAGUGGGGAAUAUUGCACAAUGGGGGAAACCCUGAUGCAGCAAACCGCCGCGUGAGUGAUGACGGUCUUCGGAUUGUAAAGCUCUGUCUUCAGGGACGAUAAUGACGGUACCUGAGGAGGAAGCCACGGCUAACUACGUGCCAGCAGCUGC